rfam:Firmicutes bacterium CAG:308 genomic scaffold, scf28
UCGGUCUAGCAACCGCACAGAAAAGGUUUAAGUUGCGAUGCACACCUUUAUGGCGAGUAUCAGAAUCAUU